rnacentral:rRNA from 1 species
UGACUCUGUUCAACGGCCGCGGUAUCCUAACCGUGCGAAGGUAGCGUAAUCACUUGUUCUUUAAAUGAGGACUAGUAUGAAUGGCACCACGAAGGUUAUACUGUCUCCUUUUUCUAAUCAGUGAAACUAAUCUUCCCGUGAAGAAACGGGAAUAAAAAUAUAAGACGAGAAGACCCUAUGGAGCUUUAAACAAAUAUACACCUGCCUCUCUACCAAAAAUUUCAGAAGACAAGUAAUUACCCGGGCAUUUUGAUAUAGCGUUUUAGGUUGGGGUGACCGCGGAGCAAAAAAUAACCUCCACAGCGAACGGGAGUAUUCCCUAAACCAAGGGCCACAACCCCAAGUAUUGAUAAAUCAACACUAAUUGACCCAAUAAAUUUGAUCAAUGAACCAAGUUACCCUAGGGAUAACAGCGCAAUCCACUUCAAGAGCUCCUAUCGACAAGUGGGUUUACGACCUCGAUGUUGGAUCAGGGUAUCCCAGUGGUGCAGCCGCUACUAACGG